AGAGUUUGAUCAUGGCUCAGAUUGAACGCUGGCGGCGUGCUUAACACAUGCAAGUCGUACGCGAAAGGGACUUCGGUCCCGAGUAAAGUGGCGCACGGGUGAGUAACACGUGGAUAAUCUGCCUCUAUGAUGGGGAUAACAGUUGGAAACGACUGCUAAUACCGAAUACGCUCAUAAUGAACUUUGUGAGGAAAGGUGGCCUCUGCUUGCAAGCUAUCGCAUAGAGAUGAGUCCGCGUCCCAUUAGCUAGUUGGUGGGGUAACGGCUACCAAGGCAACGAUGGGUAGCCGAUCUGAGAGGAUGAUCGGCCACACUGGAACUGAAACACGGUCCAGACUCCUACGGAGGCA
rnacentral:rRNA from 1 species